rnacentral:rRNA from 1 species
GGAUUGCGANUGGGCGAAAGCCUGACGCAGCGACGCCGCGUGGGGGAUGAAGCUUCUCGGAGUGUAAACCCCUUUCGACCCGGACGAAUGACCCGCAAGGGUUUGACGGUACGGGUAUAAGAAGCCCCGGCUAACUACGUGCCAGCAGCCGCGGUAAUACGUAGGGGGCCAGCGUUGCUCGGAAUUACUGGGCGUAAAGGGUUCGUAGGUGGUGCGGCAAGUUGGAAGUGAAAUCUCUGGGCUUAACCCAGAGGCUGCUUUCAAAACUGCCGUGCUCGAGUGCGAGAGAGGCCAGUGGAAUUGCAGGUGUAGCGGUGAAAUGCGUAGAUAUCUGCAGGAACACCCGUGGCGAAGGCGGCUGGCUGGAUCGCAACUGACACUGAGGAACGAAAGCUAGGGGAGCAAACAGGAUUAGAUACCCUGGUAGUCCUAGCCCUAAACCAUCAGGACUUGGGGUGGCCCGCGUAGGCGGGUCGUCCCGUAGCUAACGCGUUAAGUCCUGCGCCUGGGGAGUACGGUCGCAAGACUGAAACUCAAAGAAAUUGACGGA